GAUGAACGCUGGCGGCGUGCCUAAUACAUGCAAGUCGAGCGAACAGACGAGGAGCUUGCUCCUUCGACGUUAGCGGCGGACGGGUGAGUAACACGUAGGUAACCUACCUAUAAGACUGGGAUAACUUCGGGAAACCGGAGCUAAUACCGGAUAAUAUUUCGAACCGCAUGGUUCGAUAGUGAAAGAUGGCUUUGCUAUCACUUAUAGAUGGACCUGCGCCGUAUUAGCUAGUUGGUAAGGUAACGGCUUACCAAGGCAACGAUACGUAGCCGACAUGAGAGGGUGAUCGGCCACACUGGAACUGAGACACGGUCCAGACUCCUACGGGAGGCAGCAGUAGGGCAUCUUCCGCAAUGGGCGAAAGCCUGACGGAGCAACGCCGCGUGAGUGAUGAAGGUCUUCGGAUCGUAAAACUCUGUUAUUAGGGAAGAACAAACGUGUAAGUAACUGUGCACGUCUUGACGGUACCUAAUCAGAAAGCCACGGCUAACUACGUGCCAGCCGCCGCAGUAAAAC
rnacentral:rRNA from 1 species